CUUUAACACAUAAUAUGUUCAAUCCUCAUUAAAACUGAUAUUUCUGUUUCCCCAAUUCAAGAAAGGCAUUCAUACUAUAUCAUGCCUGCCAGAAAUCGUUUGAUUUCAUCAUCACCGGCAACCCUGCCGCCACCGCCCAUUCCCACCGGCAAGGGAUCGCGUUCUGCCGUGGAUCCAGUUUUAUCCGAUUACAUAGACCAGUCAAUACAUAUCCCGGAAUUGACUCUCCCUGAGCAUGUUCAUAGUUUAAAGCCACUUGAUAUUGAUUAUCAACUGCUCAUAUCAAUGGAUGAUGAUGAAUCAAUGAGUCCGCUGUUGACAUCGGCUAGGGGACUCGGAAUUUUUCGGAUUAUUGGGCAUGGAAUUUCUAGUGAUGAGUUAAGAUCAAUAUUGGUUGAUUGUGAACAGAUAUUUGGACUGCCAAUUGAAUGUUGCACAAAUUAUGGAGAUCAUGAGAAGUUUGUGUGGUGUGAUGAUGAUAAAGAGUUCAUGGAGAAGGGUAAAUUUGUUCUUGGAGAGCAAAAAUUUCAUAUUUUCAGGUAAAAGUUACCAAAGUUUGAAUUUUAAGGUCCGUUUGAUUGGAGUGAAUUUCAUGGAUAAUAUCACAUUCAAUGAAUUCAUUUUUUACUUUGGCUGUUUGAUACGAAAGUGAAAAUGAAGUUCAAAUUCUAAAAUACAAAUAUGUAAAGCAUAUUUUUGGUCAAUUCCAUAGAAAAUGCAUUCCUAUGGUUUUGGUGAUUUUUUUUUUCCCAACUUACAUGGAAUUGGUUUGUACCUUGGAAAUCAAACUUCAUUUCCAUUAUCAAACAGCAAAAGUAGAAUUCUUCGAAUGCGAUAUUUUCCAUGGAAUUCACUCCAAUCAGGCGAACCCUUUGUCUAUUUUGCAUUUCCAUUGUAGGUUGAAUUUUUGGUUCGUUACAUUGUUUAGGCGUCUUUUGCGUUUUGAUUUUUAAGACUUGAUUUCUAUUUUAAGAUAUCAACAUUUUAAAAAUUUACACUUGUAAAAGGGUCAUUCGAGAAAAUUUUCAGCUUGUCAGCUUCGUUUUUUCUUCACAAUAAACACUAGCAAUUUUCAUACACAAGUGAAGCUAAAACUUAACUGAGUAUAUUCAUCCAAUCCAAGCCAUCAAAGACCAAACUGUAUAACUUGGAUUCGCUAGUUAGUAAGAGUGGAAGACGAAGGAAGGGACGAAUAGUCAAUUUUGAAAAAAAUUAUUGUCAACCUCUUUCAUUUAUGAAUCUAUCCGAUUCAGAAGGGAAGUCUUUACAUCAGUAUCUCAAUUUCAUCCCACGUGCAGAAAGAUGGAUACCUUCCUUAAAGUUUCACGAGUUGAGAUUAUUUACACCAUUUGCAGGCAAAAAAUGGAGUAUGUUGCCACAAAACUCAAAUCUAUUGCAGAAGAAUUGGCAAAGGUAAUUGCUCCAAGUGCUAUAAACCAAUCUCCAGAGCAAGUUCAAUUAGGGGAAUCCACAUUGAGCAUAUAUAGGUACCAUGGAGCUAAUAUCAUCGAUCGAAUUCCCUCUCUAGUCGAGGAAAAAUGCCAAGAAUCAUGUCAAUAUGCUUUGAAGCUCCAUCUUAUACUAGAUUCAGGCGAGUUCUGUUGGCAGUUGGAGUUGCAUAGUUCGUCAUUCAGCCCAAGCAACAACACCAUUGUUGUAAAUAUGGGGAAAGAGUUGGAGGUAAUUUAAUUUAGAUUAUUUCUAUUCCAAAUUGGGUCGUGAAUUAACAUAAUUUCAUUUUUAAUUGUUAAAUAUAGGAAGGGAGCCAUAACGAACUGAAGUCAGCUGGUGGGGAAUUACUUUUCAGGCCUUACCUUCAUACUAAUCGCCCAUCUUUCUCAAUUGAACAGAAGUGGUCAUCUUGUAAUUUGAAUAAAAUUCAGAAUGAUUCUAGCAAGCGAAUCUCAUUGGCUGAUCAGAUCUUGGUUCUAUUGCUAGUGGUAUUGUUAUACAAUACUUUUACUUUUGUUUACUCUUGAAUCAAACCGAACUAAGUCAACCAGUAUUAGUCGUGUUUGGUUUCACAAUGUGUGUUGUGUUAUACUGAAGUUAGGCAUCAUGUUUGACAAUGUUGAUGCAAGAAAAUUUGUCAUGAGGAUUAAUGUGUACUGAAAGUGAAAGUUCAAGAGAUUCAUGUACAUUCUUUAUGAAAUUUUCUUUGUCGUAAAUGAUCUAGUGUGGUGUAAAGAAUUAUCAAGAAAAUGAUGAAGACAUCCAUUUUAUUUAUUUUCUAGUUGGACUUUUAUCUAUGUUUUGGACUCUUAUUUAUGUAAUUGGGCUUAUACAAGGGGUUUGGCCCAAUCCCGUUGUUUUCAGGGCUUUGUCUUGCUAUUUAAAUUUAGCUUGUCAUGAAAUUGGGACAGUUAAUUAUUAUGAUGAAUUGAGAUUGGUUUUGAUGUCUCCUACCUCUUCCUUCCCCUUUUAUCCUGAAUUUCUGAUUCUUCUCCAAUUUCUCUCCCCAUUCUCUCCGAUUUCUUCCCCAUUUCUUAUUGUCUUCUUCUUUAUCCUCCAUCAAAUUUGGUAUUAGAGUUAAACUUGGAUAAUAUUUCUUCAUCCAUUCCAUACAUACAACUAGUAUAUCCAUCACCUGCUAAUUCAACUCCCUUUUCCAGUUCACCAAUGCUACCAGAGAAACCACCACGUCCUUCCACAACUGCCAACCACCCGAAAUUCACUCAACACCUGGAACUUCCACCACCAACUACAACCCCCACCAAAUAAUUCCAGUAAACGCGACCACCCCACAAGCCAAACCUCCAACUCCAACACAGGCUAUAGCGUAACCUGCAACUUUUAUAUAAUCGACCUUUUUUUGUCACAAUAACAACCUACUAUCAACAAAACAACCAAUCACCAUUGUCCAAAUGAGUUGUGGGAACCUGGGAGCCAACAAGGGCACAUCCUGCGAUUUACCUCCCUGAGCUGCUGAGGGGCCUGAUGUUACUGGGUCGGGUCAAAUGGAUGAUGGUGCUGGAUUGGAUCGUGAUCUUUAAUUGGCGCAGAUUUUACGCCCGAGGCUGCAUUCCUGGAGUAUGAAGAGAACUUGGGCCCAGAUGGCUUAACAAGAUUGGGCACAUUAAUUUUUGUAAAUAAAAGUUGUACAAUCAUGUGCACGGGACCAUGCAAAAGAUAAUUACACCAGCCCCAUUUUGGAGGGAACAAAUGAAUUUUUGAAUAGUGUAUUGGAAAAUGUGUGAUUAAAAAAUGAGAAAAAAUUUUAAAUUUACGUGUAAUAUUAUUUUAUUAAAUAAUGUGUGAUUGAUAUGAUGUCAAAAUACUGUAGAACGUAUUUUUUUUUUUUAAAUAUAUUGGGGCUCAUACAAGCUGUAUGCAUGCAUCAUUUUCAAUAUACGACGUUAAAUACUUCCAGCUGUAUUUGAUAUUUAAAAGAACAUGUCCUUUAUAAGUCUGUCCAGAAAUAUGAGAAAGAGCUCNAAACCACCACGUCCUUCCACAACUGCCAACCACCCGAAAUUCACUCAACACCUGGAACUUCCACCACCAACUACAACCCCCACCAAAUAAUUCCAGUAUACGCGACCACCCCACAAGCCAAACCUCCAACUCCAACACAGGCUAUAGCGUAACCUGCAACUUUUAUAUAAUCGACCUUUUUUGUCACAAUAACAACCUACUAUCAACAAAACAACCAAUCACCACUGCCUCCACCUCUCCAACCGACAUACAGUACAUCAGUACGCAUACUUCCCAAACCACACAAAUUGACAGCCGCUGCUCACAUCUCGCUCCAUUCGCCUCUUCCAAACUUGAUCCAAUCACCCAAGCUUCAUCUUCUCUACACAGCAUCAAUAAUCCGCCCAACGCACCCCACAUCUUCAUCCAAUCAACACCACAUGCUACACUCAAGUAAUCACAAUCCAUCUCCAAGCACUCGCCAUGACUAUCGCCGUCAAUCAUCCUUACAGUCGACGCAGUCAUCUUCGCAACCGUCAACACCGCAUCUCUCGUCUCGUAACUAUUGAGUAGGGCUGGACAAAUUGUGGGUAUUUGAUUAUCAAAUUGGGUCGUGCCUUGGUAUUUUGGCUUUGUAUUGUGAGUCUAAGUAUUUGAUUUUCAGUUUAGGCUCUGCCUUGAUUAGUUUUUGGGCCUAAUAAAAGUGUAGUUGGAGAGAGACAGAGAGAGAGAAAUUUUCUGACAUUAUUUGCACGUUGUUUCCUUUUUUCUUGCUGAUUGACACAGCCACUCGGAUGAUUCAAUUGCCGCUUUGCCACUGGAGUCAUGUCUAUCCUGANCAGUAUUUUGUGAUUUAUCUACU
rnacentral:lncRNA from 1 species